rnacentral:rRNA from 1 species
AAUCUCUGACAUUUUGACAUCAAGUCAGGUAGGACUACCCGCUGA